rnacentral:lncRNA from 1 species
AUAGAUGAAGUAUAUGCAUGAUAUAUGAAUAUGCAUGAAUGAUGGUGAUGUAUAUGUAUAAUGUAUGAUUAUGCAUGUUUUUAUGAAGAAGUGUUUAAGUACCAUUUACUUACACUUGUAUAUUUUGAGUAUGUUAUCUAACUCUCUUUUAUGUGUUAUGUGCUGGACCGUUGGGGGUGCAGAUUCACAGGUUUGUGGUAUUCGAUGUCCAGUCGUCGGUGAAGCUCCGCUCUGAUUGUGACACGGGAAAAAGGGUUUUAUAUUGUAUAUAAAGUCUAUUGUCUAGGUUGUUUUGUAUAAUCAAUAAAUAUAUUAUUUGAUUCAAAGAUUUGUAUAAACAAGCAUUUUUACUAAUUAACUACAUUAGUAUAAUUUUGAUUGAAGAGUGUAAUGCUCGAACCAUGACUUUUAUAAUAAACAAACUUUGAUUUUCC